UAUUGCCUGCUGUAUUCGAGAGGGUGGAUUAUGUAUUGUUCCAAUGCAUUGAAUAUGGGAGUCCACAUUCAGAAGAUAGGCGCAUGCUGACUUGUUUCAGAAGCAAAACUUUUCUGAGAGGACACCCACCUGGUUAUCCAGGAACUAACUUUCCAUCUAUCGGUACGGUGGGCUUAAU
rnacentral:other from 1 species